UAGAAUUCUGAAAAAAGUUAUUUCGGACCAAGAAUACUUUCCCCAGUCCGCGCCAGUGGGCUUGUUUUGUGAGGGUAGUCAAUAAGCUUAGGUCUGGGCUAGUCCGACUAAGGCCAGUUAUCGGCUUAACGCAACGCAAAGGAGAAAUCCAAGGGAAGAGACGUUUGCAAAAGGGAAACGAAAUUGAUAGAAGGAAUCCAGAGAGAGAGAGAGAGAUGGGGAGUCAAUUGGUGUUGAAAUGGUGCGUGGGAAUGAGAUUGAGUUUGGGUCAUGCAUCGCCUUACUACUAUUAUUAUUCUAGUCGUUGGAGUUCACCAUCAUCGCUAAGCUCACUCUUUCUCAAAGCUUCUCGGCCCGCACCGCCACUAAGAAUAACCAGAGGAGGAACCAUGCGGUGGUGCCAGGGAUACGCAUAUACAACAACUAGUAACGAGGUUGUUGGGAAUUGUAAGGGGAAAGAAUACCUGGAAUUGACGGACCAGGAGCUUAUGAAACAGUGCCAGAUGGACACCUUCAAGUCCUCCGGCCCAGGCGGUCAGCACCGCAACAAGCGCGAGUCUGCCGUCCGCCUCAAGCACCUCCCCACCGGUAUCAUUGCCCAGGCUGCGGAGGAUCGAUCGCAGCAUAUGAACCGCGAAUCAGCGUUAGCGCGCCUUCGCACUCUCUUAGCCCUUAGAGUGAGGAACAAUGUGGAUCUUCAAGCUUAUGAGCCGCCCCCGGAGCUCCUUCGGAUUCUGCCCCCUAAGUCCACCGUUAGACCUUCCAAUUCUGGUCCCCAGAUUGGUCAUAAUAACCCCAAAUUUCGUAUGGGAAUGCAAGCUCUCUUGGAUCUAAUUUUUGCAGUUGAGGGUUCUGUAUCAGAAGCAGCCAAGUUUCUUGGGUUGAGCACCGGUGCGCUAUCACGCUUAAUAUUAUCGGAUGAUUCUCUUCGAAUGACGGUCAAUGAGCUGAGGGCUUCUAAGGGUAUGAAGCCUCUCAAGUAGGAGUUCUUGGAUGCUAAUUGCACGCGUCAGGUACAAUGUAGAAUUGUUGUUCUUUUCAGGCUAGUAUAACCACUCUGCACGGAAACUGAUCUUGUUGCUUAAAACCCCAGAGCUCCAUGGCACGUGAAGAGCGGGGAAAAACGUAUGUGGCGGAAUUCUUACCUGUCUGAUAUUAUACGUUAUUAACUGACACAUUGAGACUAGCUUGGACUUGGUUAGACAUCAUUCAGAUUUAGUCAACUAUGUCAAAGUUCAGAGGAAGGAUAUUUUCAUUCUUCUUUUGGUUCGGGUUGCAGCUAUUGCUGAAUGUAUAAUCUUCCCUAUAUUCUCUUUUGGCAAGUAUGUGGCUCGAUCCUCUGAUGUUUGGGUUAUUGUAGUUACGCAGAAGAAGAAGUUUUUAUGCCAGUAGAGAUUGUAAAAUCACUAACCCAUAUUAUUAAAGAAUUUAUACACCAUAGCCUUGGAAGAA